UACUUCGGAUAGAUUUCGAUUUCCUUUUACUGUAGGAAAUAUAGAAAUCUAUCCCUUGGAUUCCUUUUAAACCCAUCCCGUGCACUCUCUGCAUCACUCCACUUUCAGCUAUUCCAUCCCAUCUUUUCUGUAUGUUUUGUCCCCCCUCUAUCAGAAAAAGCAAAGAAAAUUUGAAAACUUCUCUCUUCUUUCUCUCUAUCCCGUGAGCUCUCUCUCCCUCUGCAACUCCAUGAGCAAGCUCCAAAACUCAUAGAUCGAACAAACAAACUACAUCAUCAUGCUCAUCUCAGCCCCACGAUCACGACCAUACCCUUGGUUCGCGUGUUGAUCGAGUUUUGAACAUCCAACUCGGAAGGUCCGACUCGGCGAGUUCGAUACUAUGGUUUUCAAGCCAUGCAUGGCUAAGAAACUCGAGAAGAAGGAGAACCCGAAGUUUUUCGUACAAGAACCGUGGCCAUUUAGUCAUUUUCAAACCAUUUUUCUGGUCAACCUCGACCACAACUGGACUUCUUCUAGGAGAAACUUAUUCCGAGGAUUUUCGAGGCCAAGCUAGGCUCGGGGGCUACGACCCAGCGACGUACUUGACCUAGAUAGUUGUACUCUCUGUGGCACUCGAGGAAUCACGGCAGUUCUGACAUUUCCUUCUGUUUAGACGUAUGAACUUAUCACUACUAUGUAAUAAGUGUACUUUGGUUGCCUUGACUACUCUUUCGUAGUCUCACUGUCUAUUACGCUCUGAAUAAUUGCAGUGGGUUCAACCCACAAAUUGCGCACUCUUUCACUGUUUAGUCCUAAUUAGUUUUAAUUUUAUUCACUUUUUGCAUCA